rnacentral:sRNA from 1 species
GCGUAGGUCAGGCAUGGCGGGGGGAUGGUGGGGUGACAUGCCACCCAUAAAUGUGAUAAAAUGCCUCUCAUGAUAGGCGGCAUUCACUUGGCAUCAUGAUUUAUUACAAUUUUGCUUAUUUUGUCCUUCCCCAAUGCACCAAAGAAUUGCAUGCAUGAGGUUUAAACUACAUCGAACAACAGGGAUUAUGAAGAAGAGAGCCCAACUUUCUAAAAAAGGGUAAAAACACGGUCAUUAAUAUUUGGAAUUUUUGGGAUUCGUACUCAUAAAGACAAAGGAAAACAAAAAGGAAAGGGGAUUUGGGGGGGGGAGGGUGUUGUUUGUAAGAAAGGCCCAUCUAAUUAAUAGAAAAAGAGAAAAUAAAUCGUAAAGCCACUUUUCCUUUUUAACUAGGGAGGACACGAAAAAACAUAAAUGCCAGGGGAAAUGGGAGACAGGGAAUCCAGGGAAUGCAAAGGAGGGGAUGGCAGGAAGAAUGAAACCAACCAAGGUUUGCAAAGGGCCCAUGUCAAGUCGCCAUAUUUCGCCCGCUUUAUUCACAUGUAAUGAGGAAAGGGAGAAAGUAAAACGCCUCCUAUUUGCUCAUCACCCAGACGGCCAUGUAUUUGAUUAUCCCCUCUUUUUGUCGCUCUGGCAUUUUUUUUCUGAGGGAGUAUUGGGACCUAGCCAAUUUAUUUCUUGGUGGCCUUCUGCGCGGCCUUGGUGACCUUGCCAGCAGUCUUGUCAGACUUGACGACGGACUUGAUGACACCGACAGCGACGGUUUGUCUCAUGUCACGGACAGCGAAACGUCCAAGAGGGGGAUAGUCAGUGAAGGGCUCCACGCACAUGGGCUUGGAGGGAACCAUCUUGACGAUAGCAGCAUCACCAGACUUGAUGAACUUGGGGUUGUUCUCAACAGACUUUCCAGUACGGCGGUCGAUCUUCUCAAUGAGUUCAGAGAACUUGCAAGCAAUGUGGGCAGUGUGGCAGUCGAGGACUGGGGCAUAACCAGCGCCAACCUGGCCGGGGUGGUUAAGGACGAUGACCUGGGCAUUGAAGGAUUCGCAGCCCUUGGGGGGAUCAUUUUUGGAGUCGCCAGCAACGUUGCCACGGCGGACUUCCUUGACUGAAACGUUCUUGACGUUGAAGCCGACGUUGUCACCAGGGUAACCAGCCUGGAGUUGUUGGUGGUGCAUCUCGACGGACUUGACUUCAGUGGUGACGUUGGAGGGAGCGAAAGUCACGACCAUACCGGGCUUGAUGACACCAGUCUCAACACGUCCGACGGGAACAGUGCCAAUACCAGAGAUUUUGUAAACAUCCUGGAGGGGAAGACGGAGAGGCUUAUCGGUAGGACGGGUUGGGGGUUCAAUGGCGUCAAUGGCAUCGAGAAGGGUUUUACCAGAAGACUUGCCAGAGGCAGUCUCCUUGUUCCAGCCCUUGUACCAGGUGCAGUUGGGGGAGGGUUCAAUCAUGUUGUCACCCUCGAAACCAGAGAUUGGCACGAAGGGAACAGCCUUGGGGUUAUAUCCGACCUUCUUGAUGAAGUUGGAAACCUCCUUGAUGAUUUCGUUGAAACGGGACUCGGACCACUUGGUGGUGUCCAUCUUGUUGAUGGCAACGAUGAGUUGCCUCACACCAAGGGUGAAAGCAAGCAGAGCGUGCUCACGAGUCUGGCCAUCCUUGGAGAUACCAGCCUCGAACUCACCAGUACCGGCAGCAAUGAUGAGGAUAGCGCAGUCAGCCUGGGAGGUACCAGUGAUCAUGUUCUUGAUGAAGUCACGAUGGCCGGGAGCAUCAAUGACAGUGACACUGUACUUCGGGGUCUCGAAUUUCCAGAGGGCAAUAUCGAUGGUGAUACCACGCUCACGCUCAGACUUCAGUUUGUCAAGGACCCACGCAUAUUUGAAGGAUUUCUUGCCCAACUCUUCGGCUUCCUUUUCGAACUUCUCAAUGGUACGGCUGUCAAUACCACCGCAUUUGUAGAUCAAAUGACCAGUGGUGGUAGAUUUGCCCGAAUCGACGUGGCCGAUGACGACGAGGUUAAUGUGAGUCUUGUCUUCCUUACCCAUGGUGGCGGGAUUUAAAUGUGAAAAUUGGGAGAGUUUGGGAUGGAAAAAGAUUCGAUAUCUUGUAGUUCUUUGGAAGAGACUAGAAGAGACCAGGAGAACGCUCAGAUACUACGGCCAAGAAUGCGUAGAGGUGCUGUAAAGGUCAGUUAGAAAAUAUAGAAAAGCUAUGGAGAGGUAGGAUGUUGGAACGGGGAGAGGAAGCGGGACAUGAGGGUUGAGAGGAUACGUACUGAAGCAGACGAGCAGAGGAAGGGAGAAAGGGAAAAAAUUUUUGUGCGAAGAGAGGGGUUUUUGAAUGCUUUCUGGGCGGGGGAAAGUACAGGAGGCGAGCCUACUAGGCCAUUUUCGUACAUCACGUGCUUACUCGCUGUAUUUUUGGCGGGGUCUCAUUCAGGGCCGCUUCAGUUACCACUUUUUGAUAAGGGUCGUUGGCUUUGGAAAUAGGGACCAAAAGAUAACUGAACUGCCUUUAUUGCUGGCUAUUAGGGAGACAUUGACUUAAAUAUCAAUUAUAGUAGAGUAAUUUUCCAUACCCACCUUCAGACAUGAAAUCAGCUAAUCUCUCCACUCGAAUUAUUCAGUCCCAGAUGUUACAAUGCUACAGCUGUUUUGUAUUAUGGCCAAAUUUAGCAUAUCCUGAAUUUUUGAUUCGGGGAGUAUCGAUGUAAUAGCAGUACAUGUAUUUUGUUUUUCAAAAGGUCGAAAGAACCAGAGAGAAACUUGUUUGAAAGCUAGUUGUAUCAGCCUCUCCGUAAAUUAGGCUACCUUGAGCCACAACGACGACCAAACCAGGAGUAAAGUUAGGGUAGUUCGAGAAAAUUCACAAGGUGACUCAUUUCCAUUGACAGAGAAGAUGAGUUGUGUUUGCCCUAGUUUUCUCUCCAUCGAGCACCGCAGGUUGUGCACUGCAAUUUGUUGUCAAGUCAGCAUUGGUCUUCUCUUGUUUACGUUUGCAAACAUAUGUGGAUUUCCUUUCCCUUGUAAAACUCCAAAGUUGGGAGGGGGAGGAGGCAGGGAACCGGCAGGAGUCACGAUUUUUUCUAAAGCUUAUAUCGUACCUUGAAGAAUGUAGUCAUUGGUUCGUCGGCGCUUCGAAUCUGCAAUUGGUAAAAAUAUGCACGGUCGCCAUCACAGCCUUCCGCGGGGCAUUGCGCUGCAAAUAAUAAUGAUGGAGGGAAGAGGGUAAUCAGCAGUCGUCGUACAGAUACAGGGACAGAGCAUGACCAAAAUAGCAAAGGGUGAAAUCCUCAAAGCGUGGGGCAAUUAAGGGAGUAAAAUGGAACAGCUCGAAAAUUUCCAUGGUCAUUCAUUAUAUGUAGGUGGUUAGUGACUCACUCCCUUGGCUAUCGGCGUUCUUCCACUCAUCUUUCCCCCCCAACACAUCAGAAACCUCCUUCCGCUUCAUCUCCGUCCUCUCGUAGUACGUUCGGUCGAGGAUAUAUUGGUAGGGACAAGUGCGGCAUUCGAAUCUGUUGACACCUAUUGGGUAGCGAGGGCUGGGAUCUGCCCGGGAGAUGGUAAGGGCAUUGCUACAGUUUGGACAAACUAAAUACACAUUUUGCGAAUCAAAUGGUGGCCUACUUAACGAGAAACUUUGCAGGCCAUUAAAAGUAUUGGGGUGAAGCUUUGAGAAGACUCACAUGUCAAAGGCAUUUUUGGCUGGAAUUCUCAGAUGAUUGAAUUGAUUGAAUCAAUGACUAUCCAGAGAUAUAGUAUAUUAUAGGUAGCGAUACCAUUGUCACACUGAGGAAUUUCCAAAAUUGGAUACAGUGUGUGAGCUCAUUGCAUCCCGCCGUUGCUCUCCAGAUGUGCUGCCGUGGGUCUCGUCCACUAUGCCUUAUUGGCCGAUCUUGCGAGCAAACAUUCCCGCGCGACUAAUUUGUUCUAUUAAAUCCCUUGAAUUAAGCGCCGCACUUCUGCGUGGCUAGCCGGAAUAUAUUUGUUCCUAUAUUUUUACAGAUCCAAUGGCUGAUACAAAACACUCAACACAACCACUAACAACCUUAAGAGCAAGAAUAAGGACUGCGACUAUACCGAGCCUCUCCUCCAUCGCGGCUUUACCGGCAGGUCAAAAUACUUUCGUUUUUGUUGACUGCUACAGCGGAGAAGCAUCAUAGCUUAGCGCUUGGCCUCUCAAAAUUAGACCAAACUUCGAAACCCCAAAGCAUACCCCGCACUCGGGUUGCAAUUGCCCUCUUUUAGGCAAACGUGAAGCACUAGACACAACACAAUGCGCCCGGAGGAUGACAAGAGAAUAGCGGACGAUGAGGGAGCCAGUCCUGGUGAGAGAGUUGCCGCCGCCUGCCGGGAAGAUAACACGGAUGCCCUAGAAGAAGUCCUUACAGAGAUGGAGAGUGGGAAGAAAACAAAUGAGGAAAUUGCUGCGUUUUUUAACAGCGUUACGGAUCCCUUGGGCAAUCAUGCGCUUCAUAUCUGUGCUAUGCAUGGAAGCUACCACGCAGCCGACUUCCUCUUCGAUAUAGAAUUUUUCGAAUGCGACCCAAGAACUCGACUCGACAAAGAAACCCCGCUUCACCUCGUCGCGCGCUACGCAAACGACACGAGCCGUUACAAUUCUGUCACAGAUGCCAUCACAAUGGUUAAAAUGAUGUGCGAAGCCGGCUGCGACCCGCGCGUAACGAAUAAAAAUGGCGAGACGCCUUCCCGAUUACCGGAUAUGAUUCCAGAGGAGUUGCGAAAGGAACUGAGGCAGGCGGAAUAUCUACUAAAUGAGGGGCUGGGGUUACAAAAUGAUCCUGACGGUGAUGGCGAUGAUGCGCGGGCGGGGGAUAGCGCGAGUGAUUCUGAGUGAGGAUAGAUAGUGCUUGGGUGGAUGUGAGAGAAUGUCCCGUUUACGAGUCUUCUUCUUCUUCUUCUUGUUUUUCUUCCUCGGCUAUAUUAGAUCAAUUCAACGUUUCUGAUUAAAUUCCAUUCGCGUAUGCGAAAAGCUAAAAGAGAAGAAAAGGGCGAAAAACAGAACGAAAGAAAGCUGGAAGAAGAAAUAUAAAGGGGAAAACUGCCUUUGGGUGCCACAUGCAUGAUUUGCUGUCGUUUAGCGUCUGUUUUCUUGUUGUGUCCGAUUUUUUUUUUUUUUGGUUCUUAGCUUUUUUUUUUUUUUUUUUUUGCAGUAUCCGUCCAUCCAUUUACCCUCGAGUUAUUUGUUAUCCACCUCUUCUUACCUAUCUAUCCAGGUAUUUAGCCCAUGCAUUCCUCACCCGGGGCCCUUCUCCCCUUUUUGCUCCCAUUCUUAUACUUGCUCCCUCCCCCCUUUGUUUCCCCCCCCUUGCACUGCGCAAAGAGCAAGUUGUCCAGCUACAUAUAUAGAUAUAUACCCACAUGUAUAAGCAAGAGAGUAAAAGCCCUCGUGACACAGGCACGGAUGCAUAUGCGCAUUUUCCCAUUUUCAUCCGUAUUUCUUCUCGGUUGUCUGGGGGUGUCCUAUUGUAUCUUCUCUUAUCGCUUCCAAUUCCAUGCCCAAGAACAUUGGGGCAAUAUCGAUGGAUAUAUAUUGCUUCCCUUUAUAUGGACAAAAAGGCGCUUAGGUCUAGCUAGCCCUGGAGGCCUGGUUUCUUUCACUGAUUGUUAUUUGCUUCAUUCAAAGAGCAAUGAUCUAGUAGAAAGCGG